rnacentral:sRNA from 2 species
ACGAAUCCUCGUUAGGCGAGGCUUCUAUGCGGAAACAUGCCACUGCCCGGAAACGUCGAGAGACGCCAAUGGGUUGAACAGGUAUUGCCGGACUAAGGCUUUACUUAAUGUGGCUGAGUGGAAACUCUACGACGCAUAGUGCUAAAGCUCAACAAGGGGGAUGCGC